UAUCUCUGUAGAGUCUGCAUAUCAAUAAGCGGAGGAAAAGAAACUAACAAGGAUUCCCUUAGUAACGGCGAGUGAAGCGGGAAGAGCUCAAAUUUGAAAUCUUCAAGGUUUUACCUUGACGAAUUGUAGUUUAAAGAAGUGUUUUCUGUUGAAGUUUCGGUAAAAGUUCUUUGGAAUAGGACAUCAUAGAGGGUGAGAAUCCCGUAUUUGACCGUUAUUUUCAGCUGUGUGAUACACUUUCAAAGAGUCGGAUUGUUUGGGAAUGCAGUCCAAAAUGGGUGGUAAAUUUCAUCUAAAGCUAAAUAUUGGCGAGAGACCGAUAGCGAACAAGUACCGUGAGGGAAAGAUGAAAAGAACUUUGAAAAGAGAGUUAAACAGUACGUGAGAUUGUCAAAAGGGAAGCGUUUGACACCAGUGUUGUUUUCUCGAAAAUCAAUUAAAAAUGACUUUGAUUUUGUGUUGUAUUGACCUUAAAAGCUUUCUUCACUUUUUUCUUGUUAUUUUUAAUGCACUUUUCGUUUAACAAGUCAACAUCAGUUUCUUUUGUUGUAAAAAGGUCAUUGGAAGGUGGCUUUCUUUUCGGAGAAAGUGUUUAUAGCCUUUGACUCCUGCAAUCGGAGAGACUGAGGUCUGCAGCGUAGAUCCUUUUUUGGAUUAGAUUCAUUUGUGCUAAGUUAUAGCUUUUUAUAGACAACAUGUUGACUAUAUUUAGUCUUGUAGCUUACUCGCUUAUGUAAUUUUACCUACGCUUAGGAUGUUGAACGCGCACAGAGUCUC
rnacentral:rRNA from 1 species